GAGUUUGAUUCUGGCUCAGGAUGAACGCUGGCGGCGUGCCUAACACAUGCAAGUCGAGCGAUUACUUCGGUAAAGAGCGGCGGACGGGUGAGUAACGCGUGGGUAACCUGCCUCAUACACAUGGAUAACAUACCGAAAGGUAUGCUAAUACAGGAUAAUAUAGGAUAUUCACAUGGAUUUCUUAUCAAAGCUCCGGCGGUAUGAGAUGGACCCGCGUCUGAUUAGCUAGUUGGUAAGGUAAUGGCUUACCAAGGCGACGAUCAGUAGCCGACCUGAGAGGGUGAUCGGCCACAUUGGAACUGAGACACGGUCCAAACUCCUACGGGAGGCAGCAGUGGGGAAUAUUGCACAAUGGGCGAAAGCCUGAUGCCAGCAACGCCGCGUGAGUGAUGAAGGCCUUCGGGUCGUAAAACUCUGUCCUCAAGGAAGAUAAUGACGGUACUUGAGGAGGAAGCCCCGGCUAACUACGUGCCAGCCGCAGC
rnacentral:rRNA from 1 species